UUACUUUUUUCCAGACCUUGGAUAAUUGAUGAUGCUUGUUUUGGAAUAGCAGAAGGGUUUAUGCCAGCAUAUGAGGUCAAACCAGUACCAAGUAAUAGAAGAGAGGAACUAAAUGUUCAGUUAAAAUUGGUCCACAAGGGAACCGCUGAAUAUGAGAAGAUUGAGAAAGUGCGGUUGUUGCAUUCCGAGUUUCUGGAGCAUAUCCAGUCUCGACUCCUACCAAGACUUUUGGCUGAUGAGUGGCAGCUCAUGAGGCAAGUGGCUGAAGAUUAGAAGGUAAAUUCACAUGGAAUGACCAUCUUGGGUUGACUCAACGAGUUGCUUCAGGUCUGGUAUUCAGUUUCAAAAGGAUUAUCAUCUCUCCCAUUCGAUCAGAAAUUCUAGCAACUGGUAUGUAGCAAUCUCUCGCUCUAGUGGCAUUUUGGCGUUAAAUCGUAAACAUUAUUCAUAAUUUUGGCCGAAAGGCCAUCCACCAUAGCGGUAGUUGAAAUUUUUUUAUGAUAUGAUAGACCUUUAUGUUUCUUCUUUGUAAAUUCUCAUUUUGCUCUACAGUGUUCAUAUCAAUCAUUGCAAAAACAAGAAUUUUGACCAUUAGAAAAUUAUUUGGCAUUAAGUGGUGGUA